AUUGAACGCUGGCGGCAGGCUUAACACAUGCAAGUCGAGCGGAGAUGAGGUGCUUGCACCUUAUCUUAGCGGCGGACGGGUGAGUAAUGCUUAGGAAUCUGCCUAUUAGUGGGGGACAACAUUCCGAAAGGAAUGCUAAUACCGCAUACGUCCUACGGGAGAAAGCAGGGGAUCUUCGGACCUUGCGCUAAUAGAUGAGCCUAAGUCGGAUUAGCUAGUUGGUGGGGUAAAGGCCUACCAAGGCGACGAUCUGUAGCGGGUCUGAGAGGAUGAUCCGCCACACUGGGACUGACACACGGCCCAGACUCCUACGGGAGGCAGCAGUGGGGAAUUUUGGACAAUGGGCGCAAGCCUGAUCCAGCCAUGCCGCGUGUGUGAAGAAGGCCUUAUGGUUGUAAAGCACUUUAAGCGAGGAGGAGGCUACUGAGACUAAUACUCUUGGAUAGUGGACGUUACUCGCAGAAUAAGCACCGGCUAACUCUGUGCCAGCAGCCGCCGUAACAC
rnacentral:rRNA from 1 species